rnacentral:rRNA from 1 species
UACAGAGGCCUCGAGCGUUAGGCGGAAUCACUGGGCUUAAAGCGUGUGUAGGCGGACUUCUAAGUACCUUGUGAAAUCCCACGGCUUACCCGUGGAACUGCUCGGUAUACUGGUUGUCUUGAGCCACCUAGGGGCGAGUGGAACAAAUGGUGGAGCGGUGAAAUGCGUAGAUAUCGCUUGGAACGCCAACGGUGAAAACAGACAGCUGGGAGUGUGCUGACGCUGAGACACGAAAGCCAGGGGAGCGAACGGG